UACGGAGGGGGCGAGCGUUGUUCGGAAUCACUGGGCGUAAAGCGCGUGUAGGCGGUCCGGUAAGUCCGCUGUGAAAGUCGGGGGCUCAACCCUCGAAUGCCGGUGGAUACUGUCGGGCUAGAGUGCGGAAGAGGCGAGUGGAAUUCCUGGUGUAGCGGUGAAAUGCGCAGAUAUCAGGAGGAACACCAAUUGCGAAGGCAGCUCGCUGGGACGUUACUGACGCUGAGACGCGAAAGCGUGGGGAGCAAACAGG
rnacentral:rRNA from 1 species